rnacentral:misc_RNA from 1 species
GCGCUGAACGCUGCGAUCCGGCUUUCGGUGUUCCGACGACGCUGGUACGACGAGCAGAUCCACCCGACGGUCGUGUCCAAGGCGCUGUUCAAGCUCAUCCGGACGCACGGCCUGGCCAAGGUGUCGUAUACGCUCGUCUCGAUGAAUGUCCCACAAGCCAUCCUCAAGCAAAUCAUGCAGGGGUGGUUCCAGUUUGCCCAGAACUUCAGGGUGGAGGGUUCUGACUUCUAAAACGGCGUUGUUUGACUUUGAGGGAGAGGGAGGUGGAGGAAGGUGUUUUGUUUUCUGUAGCUUCGCCCUUCUUUCCGCCCCGCACCCCGUCGCU